UUGUUUUUUAAAGAAAGAGGGCCCGGCCGGCCGCCAUGGCGAACGUGGCCGACACGAAACUGUACGACAUCCUGAGCGUCCCGCCUGGCGCCAGCGAGAACGAGCUGAAGAAGGCGUACAGAAAGUUAGCCAAAGAAUACCAUCCUGAUAAGAAUCCAAAUGCUGGUGACAAAUUCAAAGAAAUAAGUUUUGCCUAUGAAGUACUAUCAAAUCCUGAGAAGCGUGAACUUUAUGACAGAUAUGGAGAACAAGGUCUUCGGGAAGGUAGCGGUGGAGGUGGUGGCAUGGAUGACAUUUUCUCUCACAUCUUUGGUGGAGGAUUAUUUAGCUUCAUGGGUAAUCAGACCAGAAGUCGAAAUGGCAGGAGAAGAGGAGAAGACAUGAUGCAUCCACUUAAAGUAUCUUUAGAAGACCUGUAUAAUGGCAAGACAACCAAACUACAACUUAGCAAGAAUGUACUCUGUAGUGCUUGCAGUGGCCAAGGUGGGAAGUCUGGAGCUGUUCAGAAGUGUAGUGCUUGUCGGGGUCGAGGUGUACGCAUCAUGAUCAGACAGCUGGCUCCAGGGAUGGUACAGCAGAUGCAGUCUGUGUGUUCUGACUGUAAUGGAGAAGGAGAGGUAAUUAAUGAAAAGGACCGCUGUAAAAAAUGUGAAGGGAAGAAAGUGAUUAAAGAAGUCAAGAUUCUUGAAGUCCAUGUAGACAAAGGCAUGAAACAUGGACAGAGAAUUACAUUUACUGGGGAAGCAGACCAGGCCCCAGGAGUGGAACCAGGAGACAUUGUUCUUUUGCUACAAGAAAAGGAGCAUGAGGUGUUCCAGAGAGAUGGGAAUGAUUUGCACAUGACAUAUAAGAUAGGACUUGUUGAAGCUCUUUGUGGAUUUCAGUUCACAUUUAAGCACCUUGAUGGACGUCAGAUUGUGGUGAAAUAUCCCCCUGGCAAAGUAAUUGAACAGGAUGUGUUCGUGUAGUUCGAGGUGAAGGAAUGCCACAAUAUCGUAAUCCCUUUGAAAAAGGUGAUCUUUACAUAAAGUUUGAUGUGCAGUUUCCUGAAAACAACUGGAUCAACCCAGAUAAACUUUCUGAGUUAGAAGAUCUUCUGCCAUCUAGACCAGAAGUUCCAAAUAUUAUUGGAGACACUGAGGAGGUAGAGCUUCAAGAAUUCGAUAGCACUCGGGGCUCUGGAGGCGGCCAGAGGCGUGAAGCCUAUAAUGAUAGCUCUGAUGAGGAAAGCAGUAGCCAUCACGGACCAGGAGUGCAAUGUGCCCAUCAGUAAACUCUGCAAACAGAUUGCACAGGGGGAGUUUCUUUCCACAUUGGCCUGGUUUGUUUUCUGCAAUCCAGCUGGAGCGUCUGGUCAACCCAGAUGAACUGAUGGACAUCUGUUGGUCUAUGUGUAACUUUUAAAAUUGGUAUAGUAUCUACAGAGUGUAUAAUUUAAACUAACCACAAAGCUUUACAUCUUCAUUUCGACUGUUCUAUAGCAGAAUAAAGCACUUGAAAGGAAGCAAGACUCCCUUUCACACAUGGGUUAUAAGUUUCAGUCCUGAUAUCUGUGCUUGAUUUUUAUCAGUUUUGUGUAGAUUUUAUGUUUCAUAUUUUAAAUUCAAUUCCCACAUUGUAAAGUUUGUGUACAGUUUGUCCUGAAGCUUUGUGUUUGGCUGCACCUGCGUAAGCUGCUACAAAUAGAAUAAAGAAUUUCAUAGCCUGUA